UCCGGCCACAUCAUUUUGAAACACAGGUGCCCGUAUGAUCACAAAAGGUAAGUAACAUCGAGCCUCGUCAUUACCUAGAUGGGUGACCGCUUGGGAAUACCAGGUGCUGUAAGC